rnacentral:rRNA from 1 species
UACGGAGGGUGCAAGCGUUAUCCGGAAUCAUUGGGUUUAAAGGGUCCGCAGGCGGAUUUAUAAGUCAGUGGUGAAAGCCUACAGCUUAACUGUAGAACUGCCAUUGAUACUGUAAGUCUUGAAUUUGGUCGAAGUGGGCGGAAUGUGACAUGUAGCGGUGAAAUGCAUAGAUAUGACAUAGAACACCAAUUGCGCAGGCAGCUUACUACACAGUAAUUGACACUGAGGCACGAAAGCGUGGGGAUCAAACAGG